rnacentral:lncRNA from 1 species
AAUAAAUCGUUCUCAACAUCUCGUCUUCUCCCCCAAACCCCAAAUUUUAAUUUCCAACAAAUCCAUCAAAUAAUCAAUCCCCACCCAAAAAAAUCCCUAUACACACAAUCAUAAAUCCCACCAAAACAAUUAUAUUCAAUUAUAAUAAACAUCAAUGCAAGAACUUUUCAAUCUGAUAAAAAUCGGUGAAUAAUUUCCAUUUCCGUGAAUAAUUAUUACAUCACAGCGAAAUUCAAAUUGAUCGAGCUAAUCAAAUAAAUAGAAAAUCGGAAGCAAAUCAAGAACAGAGAUUAGAGAUCCGAACAGAUCAACUUCCAAAAUCAAAUUCGAGCAAAUCAACUUCCAAAACCCACCCCAGAAAAUCUGAAACCCCUGAAGCUAGCCAAUCCCAUACACCCCCACUUCAGAUCAUAGCUUCGAACUUUGUAAACAUAGAUCGGUAGAUAGGUUUUUGAGAAGCCGCCAGAAAAACACCACAGAUCCAAGUAAUAAAGCGGAAGAAAGAAAAGAUAGUGAUGGUUUGUAGGGAGGAAGAUGGACGGAGAAUAGAAGAUGGAUGGAUGGUGGUGGUGGUGGUAGUAGACUAGUAGGAGAGGUCUGGUUCACGAAGAAGAAGAAGAAGAAGAAGAAGAAGAAUAAGAAUAUAUUUCUUAGAAGUUAG